rnacentral:rRNA from 1 species
AACGUAGGAGGCAAGCGUUAUCCGAAUUUACUGGGCGUAAAGCGUGUGCAGGCGGUCGGCUAAGUUGGAUGUGAAAUCCCCUGGCUCAACUGGGGGAGGUCGUUCAAAACUAGCCGGCUGGAGGGCGGUAGAGGGAGGUGGAAUUCCCGGUGUAGUGGUGAAAUGCGUAGAGAUCGGGAGGAACACCUGUGGCGAAAGCGGCCUCCUGGACCGUACCUGACGCUGAAACACGAAAGCUAGGGGAGCGAAC